UACGUAGGGUGCAAGCGUUAAUCGGAAUUACUGGGCGUAAAGCGCGCGUAGGCGGCUCCGCAAGUCGGCCGUGAAAAUCUCCGGGCUCAACUCGGAGGGGUCGGGCGAGACUGCGGGGCUCGAGGUGGGCAGAGGGCAGUGGAAUUCCGGGUGUAGUGGUGAAAUGCGUAGAGAUCGGGAGGAACACCCGUGGCGAAGGCGGCCAACUGGGCCGGACCUGACGCUGAGGCGCGAAGGCGUGGGGAGCGAACGGG
rnacentral:rRNA from 1 species